rnacentral:misc_RNA from 1 species
GUAGGUGAACCUGCGGAAGGAUCAUUAUCACGUUAUCCACGUUCUAAACCAUUUCGUGCACUGUUUCACCUCUGAUGUUUUAUAUAAAGGUCAAUGUGUUGCAAAAAAUGAAUGAUUGAGGGGUUUUUUUUCUUCUUCUUUUUUCUCCUCGGAGAAAUUGUUGAGAGAAAAAAUCUGAACAAUUGGAUCGCACACUUUGACUGGAACAUUCAGAGCGUAAUAAAUCAAACUCUUUCAUUCUAUCCAAACCAUUUGAACCAUACUUCUUUUAAGCUUUGGAACUGAUUAAAUAAGUACAAGGAAACUUGUCUUAUUCUUACGAAAACAAACGAACAACUCUUAGCAACGGAUAUCUUGGUUCUC